GUAAGAUGCAGUAACAAAAACAAUUCAGCUAGAGGCUAUACAUUCACAUAGCGAGAUGUGCUCAAACUGCUUCAGAGAAACACAGAGGAGGGUGUUGAUGUCAAGAUGGAACCUGUCAGACGGGACUGUGGAUUUCUCAGCCAAGAGAGGAAUGGCUUGUCCUCAGUUAAACUCAUGGAGGCCAGGUGGAGAGCAGGACACAAGGGAGAGGAGCUUGGCCAGCCACCGACAAGGAGACAGUGAGGAGGCACGAACAGACAGACAGACAGACAGACAGACAGAGAGGAGCAAUGGAAGGGUCUGAUUAAGGUAUCCUCCUCCUCUUCAAUGACACAUACUUGCACACAUCGAGCCAGCUGGCCACACACUCACUCUCUCAUACAGAAUAUGCACUCAUCGUCAUUGUGGAGAUGCACCGAGCCCCACUGAUGUAGAACGAAAAGCCCACAGUGACA